UACGAAGGGUGCAAACGUUGCUCGGAAUUAUUGGGCGUAAAGCGCACGUAGGCGGCUUUUCAAGUCGGAUGUGAAAUCCCUCGGCUUAACCAAGGAAGUGCAUCCGAAACUGGAGAGCUUGAGUACUUAAGAGGAUCGCGGAAUUCCCGGUGUAGAGGUGAAAUUCGUAGAUAUCGGGAGGAACACCAGUGGCGAAGGCGGCCUUCUGGACAGUGACUGACGCUGAGACGCGAAAGCUAGGGGAGCAAACGGA
rnacentral:rRNA from 1 species